GGCCAACAUGGUGUAGUGGUUUGAAUGUUGAACUACAAUUCUAGAGACCAAGGUUCGAAUCCCUGCUCGACCA